rnacentral:rRNA from 1 species
UGAUCCAGUUACUUAUUAGGAUGAUAUAUAAAAAUAUUUUUAUUUUAUUUAUAAAUAUUAAAUAUUUAUAAUAAUAAUAAUAUAUAUAUAUAUAAAUUGAUUAAAAAUAAAAUCCAUAAAUAAUUAAAAUAAUGAUAUUAAUUACCAUAUAUAUUUUUAUAUGGAUAUAUAUAUUAAUAAUAAAAUUAAUUUAUUAUUAUUAAUAAUAUAUUUUAAUAGUCCUGACUAAUAUUUGUGCCAGCAGUCGCGGUAACACAAAGAGGGCGAGCGUUAAUCAUAAUGGUUUAAAGGAUCCGUAGAAUGAAUUAUAUAUUAUAAUUUAGAGUUAAUAAAAUAUAAUUAAAGAAUUAUAAUAGUAAAGAUGAAAUAAUAAUAAUAAUUAUAAGACUAAUAUAUGUGAAAAUAUUAAUUAAAUAUUAACUGACAUUGAGGGAUUAAAACUAGAGUAGCGAAACGGAUUCGAUACCCGUGUAGUUCUAGUAGUAAACUAUGAAUACAAUUAUUUAUAAUAUAUAUUAUAUAUAAAUAAUAAAUGAAAAUGAAAGUAUUCCACCUGAAGAGUACGUUAGCAAUAAUGAAACUCA